UACGGGGGGUGCAAGCGUUAUUCGGAAUUACUGGGCGUAAAGCGCGUGUAGGCGGGGAGGUAAGUCUGAUGUGAAAGCCCUGGGCUCAACCCGGGAAGUGCAUUGGAAACUGCCUUUCUUGAGUACUGGAGAGGAAAGUGGAAUUCCUAGUGUAGCGGUGAAAUGCGUAGAGAUUAGGAGGAACACCAGUGGCGAAAGCGGCCUCCUGGACCACUCCUGACACUCAGACGCGAAAGCUAGGGUAGCAAACGGG
rnacentral:rRNA from 1 species